rnacentral:rRNA from 1 species
UAAUACGGAGGGUGCAAGCGUUAUCCGGAUUCACUGGGUUUAAAGGGAGCGUAGGUGGGCUUUUAAGUCAGUGGUGAAAUCUUUGGGCUUAACCCGAAAACUGCCAUUGAUACUAUUAGUCUUGAAUUCUCUGGAGGUAAGCGGAAUAUGUCAUGUAGCGGUGAAAUGCUUAGAUAUGACAUAGAACACCCAUUGCGAAGGCAGCUUACUACGGAGACAUUGACACUGAGGCUCGAAAGCGUGGGGAUCAAACAGGAUUAGAUACCCUGGUAGUCCACGCCCUAAACGAUGAUUACUCGACAUUAGCGAUAUUACAGUUAGUGUCUAAGCGAAAGCAUUAAGUAAUCCACCUGGGAAGUACGACCGCAAGGUUGAAACUCAAAGGAAUUGGCGGGGGUCCGCACAAGUGGUGGAGCAUGUGGUUUAAUUCGAUGAUACGCGAGGAACCUUACCUGGGCUAGAAUGCUGGGAGACCGCAGGUGAAAGCCUGUUUUGUAGCAAUACACU